rnacentral:rRNA from 1 species
GGGGUGGUGGUAUGGGCCUACAGGCUUACGACGGGUAGCCGGCCUGAGAGGGCGACCGGCCACACUGGGACUGAGACACGGCCCAGACUCCUACGGGAGGCAGCAGUGGGGAAUAUUGCACAAUGGGCGAAAGCCUGAUGCAGCGACGCCGCGUGAGGGAUGACGGCCUUCGGGUUGUAAACCUCUUUCAGCAGGGACGAAGCGAAAGUGACGGUACCUGCAGAAGAAGCACCGGCCAACUACGUGCCACCAGCCGCGGCCGGGCUACUACCGCCGUACGGGGCUUUCCUUCCUCCAAUCAAAAAAAGGUUUACACCCGUAGGCGUCCCCCCCCCCCCCCCCCCAAAAAUGGCCCUGGAGAAAAAAA